AGGUCUGAGCCAGAAAUUCGAGGGCUGGAAGGCAGGAAAAGAAAAGAGCCGCUCGAGAGGAGCCCGGGAGUCUCAGCCUCCCGCGCCGGGAUCCGCUGGGCGCACAGAGCGCCACCUCCGGCCACGGCGCCGCACAGAGCGAUGCGGGGGAGCGACGCGAGGGAGGCCGAGGCCUGAGCGGGGCUGGACGGCGCCCCCGCCACCGAAGGGCGGUGCGCCGAGCUGGGUCCCUCCCGCCUGCCUAGGCAGGUGGGACCGCACCCUGGCGACGGGUCUCUAGAGGGGUGGAGAAGCCCCGGGAUCAGGGCUAGAGGGGUAACGAGCCGAGUGACCCCGCAGCUAGACGGGAGGCCAUUAAAGGCUAGGGACUGCAAGUGGCUGGGUGGGCUGAGGAAACAGAACCCCGCCGGCCCGAGCCCUCCACCCCACACCCCCAUCCGCCGGGCUAGGCCCCUGCCCCCGCCCUGGCUGCCCUCCGGCCAAAGGCAGUAAAGGCGCAACCCUCCAGGCGUUCUUUCAUCCUCGGCUCCUCAGGCUCCAGCAUUUCAAAGGCCGAGUCCAGUGGACCCUCGGGGGGGGUGGGCCUCAGCUUCCCCCAGAUUCCGGGGAGGAGGGGUGGGCCCCUCCUGGGAUUCCCAGGGGGCAGGGUCUCCCAGCGUUCAGCCCCCCAGCGCACGUGCCUCUCUCCCCUGUUAGCCUCACCUGCAGCCUCCCCCUCCCCCCAAAGCACGCACUGGGGGCUCAGAAUGAAGGAGGGCUGAGGCAGAGCUCGGGAAGCCUUGGUACUGUCCUUGUCCACCCAAGUAGACUUUCCAAUGCACUGGAGGGAGUCCACUGGAUGGUUUCCAGAAGGCAGCAAAGAGCACAUUGCUUGGACUCAGGCUGGAACCCUGGCGGAGCCCAUAGACUUCCUGAGAGUUGACUGCAUCACACCUGCUUGAGCGUGGAGUUCCUCACAGGCAGAGGGGACCUGAGGACCCACAUGUCUUUGGGGCUGAAGGACUUGGUUUGAUAGCCGGUGUUGGAAUGAGGAAAGGUCACAUUGUAUCGUAGGGGCCCUUCUGGCUCCAACCUCUGUACAGAGGCUGCUAGUUCCUGGGGAGGGGGGUUCCCAACAGCUUUGAGCAAGUGAUUCGCUCUGUGCCCCAUCCCAGCCUGGAAAUUCAGUGGCUCCCAGUUUGAGUUUGGGACAGAAAUGUGGGUUUGGGGCAGAAGAGAUCUGGGAACAUGGAAUGGGGGCAUCUUCUACCGGAGCCCAGGCCAAAGUUAGAGAGCAGGCGAGAUGGGGGUGGGGGGCCCGACGGAGGCAUCCUUCUAAUCGCUUGCGGCUAUUAAAAAUAAAACCUCGGCUCGUUGUCAUAGCGACCACGACAACAGCCGCUGCCCAGGGUGGCACAAACUUGUGCAGCCGGUGACAGCCGCUUUGGGGGGAGACUCAGGGCAGACUCACACUGGUCCACCAAGGCCUGCCCUGCCACCAAGGACAACCCGCCCCCACCCUCCCCCCUCCUCCGAAAAAGCCGGCAGAAGUAGAUCCCUAGGCGCUGUUUCCUAGACCUUGAAUCGACUUGAGCAAGAAUCACCAACCAGGACGGGAACCCACGCGUGCGGGGACUCCCCGGCCCUGGCGCAUCUCUCCGAGGCCCCUUCCCCUUUCAAAUCCCGGCGUCUUCAUCUCUGGGGAAGGGGCUGAGUGGGGAGGCGGUUUCAGAUGGAGGCUCGGCGGCGGGAGAGGGGACCCUGGGUCCCGAAGCCAGGCACGUGGGGGCUCCGGCACCUGCCCAGCCCGCCUGUCUUGCGAUCUGGCGGCUCAGGUGUGGUCACGUGCUCCUUUCUGCCCAGGAAUCGAGUUUCACUUCCAGCCGCUAUUAGGCGGUUCACACGGUUCACUGCAAACAUUUGAUAAAGAGGCUAAAUAUACUUUGGAGUCGGAGGAGGCGUGGGCGGCCUCGCAGAGCGCAAAGGCGGGGCUCCGCGGGGCAUCCCCGCCCAGGCCGAGAGUCCGGCUCGACCCCGACCAGUUCCCGGUUCCCGGUGCUCCCACCCCAACCGCCCCCCCCCCCCCCCCACACACACAGUUGGGAGCCCAGGCCCAGGACACGCGGCCCUGGCAGGCUGUGGGCGCCCCUUGGCAGCCAAAGGCCCCGAGGCGGAAGAAGGGGGCGCUGGGGGGAGCUCCAGGGAGGGUAAGUGCUGGUGGGAGGUGAAGGCGCACCUGGCAGCCCGGGAUGUCCGGUCGCCCCCGGAGCCGGUGCUUCCGGGCUAUCUCCAGCGUCCCCGGCGGCGCGCCCCGACGUGCCGCGGACCCAUAAUUAAGUGGGAGUCAUGACUAACGUCCACUGGACACCUCGGUUUCUGAGUGGCCCCUGGGGGUGGAGAGCUGCCCCACCACCCCUCUUACAGAUGCCAGGAAGUUGGGCACUGCCCACAGCCCCAGAGUGCAGCCCCGGACAGCCACUCCUGGGCCAGCUCUCCCAGUGCUGGGGGUGGGCGCCGUCUCAGGCCUUCUGGCCCCGCAGGUUUCAGGGGGGCACGAAGAAUAGUGCGGCCUCCUGGCAGUGAGGGCCUCAGGGCUGGAGCCCACACCUGCUUAAUCCCCGUCCCGAGGGGCGCUAGCUGCCUUCUGCCCCAUGACCUUGGCUUUGCUGGAGCGCUUUGUCCCUGCCCUGCCUUGCAUCUGAAGAGUAGGGGCCGGCAACCUUGCUGUGCACGGCUGUCUCCCACCACCCAGCCUCCUGCCCAGGGAGCCAAUCCCCGCGCACACACACCUGCAGGGCCUGGCACCCCAGGCUCAGGCACAGCUGCCUCCUCCUGGGUGGCCAGCUGGGCGUCCAGACCCAGGUCUCUGCCCACUGCCAAAGCAGAUCUCAAAACAAUUUGUCAUGAUGAAACACCACAUUUCCCUUUAUCUCUGGGCAAGGAUUUCUUGGUUCAGGGCAAUUAAUCCAGGAGCGGCCUCAGCUGAGUGGGCAGCUCUCCUUGAAGAUCAAAAGUGCCAGGCGGGUGUUAAUUAAGUCAUCAUCUCAGCCGCCCCAGGCCCCGGUUCAGGAUCAGGCCUUUCCAGUCCGGCCUCCCUAUGCUCAGUGCUGGUUUUAACUCCCUAUUAAAUAUUUUCCUUUUAAACACACAAACCGCAAUGAAGUUCUACAUAGCAUAUGGGCCUACAAUCAUUCUAUGAAUAUUUUUUGAAUGAAGACCUCUGGGAAGGGGCAUCUGGGGGCUUCAGGAAUCGAGGCCAGACCUGGUCUGUCUAGGAUGGGAGCCCCCUGCCACGAGAGGCCACUGGGCAUUUGAAACGUGGCUGCUAUGUGCUACUUAUGUAAAAUACACACAGCCUCCAAGACUUGGUAUGAAGAUAAAGAGUGUAAAAUUUUUCAUUAGUAAGUUUUACAUUAGUUACGUGCUGAAAUGAUCACAUUUUUGAUAUAUGAAUUCAAUAAACUGUAUUAUUGCAAUUAA